GCCUACAUUUAUUUACAACCACUCCUCCAGUGGGCAUUUAGCACCAUUACUGUCCUAGAAACAAUCGUCUUCUCUUUAACUUAUUAUGUUCAAACUGUUAAUUUUGGAUCCACAGUUCCAGUAGCAUUGCCUUCUCCUGUUAAAAUGUGGUCAGGAUCCUCCAUUCCCCAUUUGAUGUAAUCUGGGGAUUCACAGGCUUUAUAUUCAUCAACCAAACUCUCGAUUAUGUCCCUUGAUUCAUCAAAUUCAGAAAGAUCAUUGUCAGCAAACAUUGGGAAUUUCCGAUAAUUAUCGAGAAAAGCUUGUUUCUUUCUCAGCUUCUCAUAUUGGCUCAAACAUUUGCUGAAGGGGUGCCGGAUGCUAGUAUGGCUUGCUAGCAUGAGACCACUUACCCUAUGGGCAGUUUGGACAUAUGGAGACUUUCUUGAUAGAGCGACCUGUAUGCUAGCAGGACCCCACUCAAUAAAGUUCACAAGCUUUCUUUCACGAAUCCUCUGCAAACUUUCAUGAACCUGAGUAGGGUCCACUUCUCCUUGAAUGAUGUUCAAUAUUGAGAUGUACUUUGCUUGACUAGCUUCUUUUGUCCGUGCAUAAGAGGAC
rnacentral:misc_RNA from 1 species